rnacentral:rRNA from 1 species
UACGGAGGGGGCUAGCGUUGUUCGGAAUUACUGGGCGUAAAGCGCACGUAGGCGGAUCUUUAAGUCAGGGGUGAAAUCCCGAGGCUCAACCUCGGAACUGCCUUUGAUACUGAAGAUCUUGAGUUCGGGAGAGGUGAGUGGAACUGCGAGUGUAGAGGUGAAAUUCGUAGAUAUUCGCAAGAACACCAGUGGCGAAGGCGGCUCACUGGCCCGGUACUGACGCUGAGGUGCGAAAGCGUGGGGAGCAAACAGG